CAUACUUGCUCAAUUGGUAGAGCGAUCAUCUGCAAAAUGAUAAGUGCAGGUUCAAUUCCUGCGGUGUAACCA
rnacentral:tRNA from 1 species